rnacentral:misc_RNA from 1 species
GCAAAUUACAGACUUCUCUUUGAUCAUUUACAUACUUCAUUACUCAAUACCUUCAUUAAAUGUCUGUCUAAACUCUAAAUUGACUCCUCACCUCAUUUUUUUUUCUCUCCUUUCUAUAUCCUUUAACUACAAGUAAAGAUUCCUAAUCAAGCAACUGUUGAAGCAAAUAAUCCUUUUUUCUGGACACCACUAUUCCUUCUACUUCCACA